AACGCUGGCGGCGUGCCUAACACAUGCAAGUCGAGCGAAUGAAGUUCCUUCGGGAACGGAUUUAGCGGCGGACGGGUGAGUAACACGUGGGCAACCUGCCUCAUAGAGGGGAAUAGCCUUCCGAAAGGGAGAUUAAUACCACAUAAGAUUGUAGUACCGCAUGGUACAGCAAUUAAAGGAGCAAUCCGCUAUGAGAUGGGCCCGCGGCGCAUUAGCUAGUUGGUGAGGUAACGGCUCACCCAAGGCGACGAUGCGUAGCCGACCUGAGAGGGUGAUCGGCCACAUUGGGACUGAGACACGGCCCAGACUCCUACGGGAGGCAGCAGUGGGGAAUAUUGCACAAUGGGGGAAACCCUGAUGCAGCAACGCCGCGUGAGUGAUGACGGCCUUCGGGUUGUAAAGCUCUGUCUUCAGGGACGAUAAUGACGGUACCUGGGGAGGAAGCCACGGCUAACUACGUG
rnacentral:rRNA from 1 species